rnacentral:lncRNA from 1 species
GGAAGACAGAACAUGGAUGCUGUUGCCAAGGAAACCACCUCCUUCCUCCCCGUAUGCUGUGCAUACGUGUAUCACUUCAUCUCUCCCCUCUCCAAGGGGAAGAAGGUGGACUCCAUGGCUUAGCUGAAAGCCAGCUCGGUACUCCCCUCAAGCAGCCUGUGCAUCACAGAUUCCUGCCAGGCCCUCCGGAGCAUGUACCCCACACCCUGGCCCAAGGUCUCUUCCCAAAGAGGGGUGAUCUCUCUGCCCUCAGCGCUUUCUCCGAAAAGGGCUGACAUUGGACUGCUGGGCCUCAGCAUGAUUGAAACCUGGGGAGAAGGGCCAGUUCAGGAAGGAAAGCAAGGUCCUGGGCCUCAUGCAAAGAAAAGUGUCCUGCAAGUGAAAGCAUAUAUUCCUGCUAUAUGGUGAGUUUUUUACCAUAAAUGAUGUUGAAUUGUGUCAAAUGAGUUUAAAAAAUUUUAU